UACAGAGGGGGCAAGCGUUGUUCGGAAUUACUGGGCGUAAAGGGCGCGUAGGCGGCCCGCUAAGUCGAACGUGAAAUCCCCCAGGCUCAACCUGGGAACUGCGUCCGAUACUGGCAGGCUUGAAUCCGGGAGAGGGAUGUGGAAUUCCAGGUGUAGCGGUGAAAUGCGUAGAUAUCUGGAGGAACACCGGUGGCGAAGGCGGCAUCCUGGACCGGUAUUGACGCUGAGGCGCGAAAGCUAGGGGAGCAAACGGG
rnacentral:rRNA from 1 species